AUAGUUCCGGAGAAGUUGUGGUGUAGUUGGUUGUUGCAGGCGUAGGCGAAGUUUAGGGGCAUGUCGGCGCUUGAAGAGUUAUUGGUGGCGGUGCGCGCAGCAGCGGAGCAGCAUGGCUCCGACUGGCUGUGGGAUCGUUUUCGCAGUUUGGUGCCGGGAGCGGAGGUGUCGGGUCUGCUGUGUCCUCAGUGGCUCUGGAGCGUGGCCUUGGGGUCUCAUUAGAUCUGGUUCGGCGGUCCGUGAGUAGCGGUUCGCGUUCUUGUUUGGCGUGGAUUUUUGGCCAUUCUUAUGUGUACUGGGGAGCGUUGAGAGCGAAUGUGAGGAGAUGUGGUCGGCAGUUG